CAGAGCAAUGGAUCACCUUCACAGUUUUAUGGAUCCCCUUUCCCAUAUCCAUUGGGCCCAUAUUAUGUACCAUUCCUGUAUCGAGGAUAUCCAUGGUAUCCAUAUAAUUUUCCUAUUCCAAUACCUCUGUCUGACCCUACAACUACACCUUCUAGUGGCCAGUAAAUAAGAAAAAAAAGUCCCACUGCAAUUUAAAAUGAAAUAGGUGGUCUCUACAAAGUUGAAUGUCAGCCACUUCCCUGAAGAGUCAAUAUUCCUGCUAAUAAAAUAAAAAUAAAUAUAACUGAAGUAGCAUCA